UAAGAUAUUCUUGGGGACUUACCCAGUGGUCCGGUGGGUAAGACGCUGUGCUCCCAAUGCAGGGGGCCCAGGUUCGAUCCCGGUUGGGGAACUAGAUCCCGCAUGCGUGCUGCAACUAAGAAUCCCGCAUGCCGCAGCUAA